rnacentral:lncRNA from 1 species
CGCAACCAUCAAAAGUUAAAGUCAAAUAAGCUAAUACGGGUUUACACUCUGAUUUUAUCUUCAAGCGACCACUGUAGUGCUACCAGAGCCAUGUGUCCACUAUCCGCAUCCGAGAAAGUUGUAGAAUGAGGAAUAUGCAUAAAAAGUUAACUGUGAAACAAGCGGAAUGUUUUCACCUUUCAUGGAGGUAUAUGUGACUUAUUCGCGAACUUGCAAGAAGUGGACUAUCACAAGUUGCAGGCAUAUACGCAAAUACGUUAUCUGUACACAGUUAUCUUAAAAAUCCAUAAUUCAGAUGCGAUCGUGAACAUUUACGACUAGAAAAACAGAAUUUUUAACUACUUGCGCUUCAAUGGUUUCGCGAGCCACAUAUCCAUCCCCAAGCAUUAUCAUUCAAAUGCUGAAACUUUUUUUUGCAUCUUGUAAAGAAAUUUCACUAUCUUACAAUACAUGCUGACUCAUCAUACAGUUUUCAAGUGAUGCCUGCAAAAAAUAGAAGUCCCAACAAGUUCUUUUCAACAUUUGAUCAGUAAACGUUUGGCAGCAACUUAUUUUCGUAACCAAACCUUGCGGGAAAAAAAAAGAAAAACAAGCAAUGGUCAUCUAAUCACCCAGCUAAAAUCGCAAGAAACCCGAAACUUCACAAUAUAAACAGUAAAAAAAAUUUAAAAAAAAAGUUAAUGAAUGUAGUAAAUCAUCUGCCUUUGUGUUUACUUUC